rnacentral:rRNA from 1 species
UAAUGUAUGGGGAUCUGCCCGAUAGAGGGGGAUAACUACUGGAAACGGUGGCUAAUACCGCAUAAUGUCUACGGGCCAAAGCAGGGGCUCUUCGGACCUUGCACUAUCGGAUGAACCCAUAUGGGAUUAGCUAGUAGGUGGGGUAAAGGCUCACCUAGGCGACGAUCUCUAGCUGGUCUGAGAGGAUGAUCAGCCACACUGGGACUGAGACACGGCCCAG